CCUACGGGCGGCAGCAGUGAGGAAUAUUGGUCAAUGGACGAGAGUCUGAACCAGCCAAGUAGCGUGAAGGAUGACUGCCCUAUGGGUUGUAAACUUCUUUUAUAUGGGAAUAAAACGUUCCACGUGUGGGAUUUUGUAUGUACCAUAUGAAUAAGGAUCGGCUAACUCCGUGCCAGCAGCCGCGGUAAUACGGAGGAUCCGAGCGUUAUCCGGAUUUAUUGGGUUUAAAGGGAGCGUAGGUGGAUUGUUAAGUCAGUUGUGAAAGUUUGCGGCUCAACCGUAAAAUUGCAGUUGAGACUGGCAGUCUUGAGUACAGUAGAGGUGGGCGGAAUUCGUGGUGUAGCGGUGAAAUGCUUAGAGAUCACGAAGAACUCCGAUUGCGAAGGCAGUUCACUGGACUGCAACUGACACUGAGGCUCGAAAGUGUGGGUAUCAAACAGGAUUAGAUACCCCGGUAGUC
rnacentral:rRNA from 1 species